AUGUACGACCAUACCCAGUGGAAAGCACGGCAUCCCGUCUGCUCUGCCUUAGUUAAGCCACUGAGGGCCCAGUUAGUAGUUGGGUCGGUGACGACCAGCGAAUCCUGGGUGUUGUACGUU
rnacentral:rRNA from 1 species